rnacentral:rRNA from 1 species
UACGUAGGCAGCGAGCGUUGUUCGGAAUUACUGGGCGUAAAGAGUGUGUAGGCGGUGCUCCAAGUCUGUUGUGAAAUCUCCCGGCUUAACUGGGAGGGUGCGGCGGAAACUGGAGUGCUCGAGUGUGGGAGAGGUAAGCGGAAUUCCUGGUGUAGCGGUGAAAUGCGUAGAUAUCAGGAGGAACACCUGUGGUGUAGACAGCUUACUGGACCACGACUGACGCUGAGACACGAAAGCGUGGGUAGCAAACAGG